GACGAACGCUGGCGGCGUGCCUAAUACAUGCAAGUUGAGCGCUGAAGGUUGGUACUUGUACCAACUGGAUGAGCAGCGAACGGGUGAGUAACGCGUGGGGAAUCUGCCUUUGAGCGGGGGACAACAUUUGGAAACGAAUGCUAAUACCGCAUAAAAACUUUAAACACAAGUUUUAAGUUUGAAAGAUGCAAUUGCAUCACUCAAAGAUGAUCCCGCGUUGUAUUAGCUAGUUGGUGAGGUAAAGGCUCACCAAGGCGAUGGUACAUAGCCGACCUGAGAGGGUGAUCGGCCACAUUGGGACUGAGACACGGCCCAAACUCCUACGGGAGGCAGCAGUAGGGAAUCUUCGGCAAUGGACGAAAGUCUGACCGAGCAACGCCGCGAGAGUGAAGAAGGUUUUCGGAUCGUAAAACUCUGUUGGUAGAGAAGAACGUUGGUGAGAGUGGAAAGCUCAUCAAGUGACGGUAACUACCCAGAAAGGGACGGCUAACUACGUG
rnacentral:rRNA from 1 species